AUGCAGAGUUGUAGUCUUACACACCUCUCUGCUGCUUCCUUAGAACCCUCAUCCACCAACAAUAACAUAUUUAACACUGUAGAGGUAGUCUCUGUUCCACAGUUAAAAGUUCACCAAGCACAGAGCAGGGGAGCGGUCAAUCACCAUAAUCUUAUUAAAAUUAAUACUGAAGCACAAGUUGGAGAAACUAAUAUCACAAUUAAGUGUGGACUGUUAAAUAUUAGAUCUCUUUUGUGUAAAUCCCUGUUAGUACACGACCUGAUAGCGGAUCAUCACAUUGAUUUAUUUUGUCUUACUGAGACCUGGCUUCAGGAGGAGGAGUAUGUUAGCUUAAAUGAAUCUACUCCUCCUACCCAUCUUAAUUAUCAUAUUCCACGUGUUACUGGUCGAGGAGGGGGAGUGGCAGCAAUCUGUCACUCCAAGUUAUUAAUUAAUCCCAGACCAAAACAUGGCUUCAGUUCAUUUGAAAGCCUGACUCUUGGCAUCACUCAUCUGAACUGGAGGACAGAAAAGCCACUUCUGUUUGUAGUUGUAUAUCGGCCCCCUGCUGGUCCACAUUCAGAGUUCCUGUCUGAGUUCUCUGAUUUCUUAUCUGACUUGGUCCUUAGAACGGACAAAGUCAUUAUCAUUGGAGACUUUAAUAUCCAUAUGGACGUUAUAAAUGACAGCUUUAGAAAUGGCUUCAUUUCAUUACUUGAGUCAGUUGGUUUCCUCCAGCAGAUAAACCAACCAACUCAUAGCUUUAACCACACCCUAGAUCUAGUCCUGAUUUAUGGUGUUGAGGUAGAACAUGUGUCAGUGUUCCCUCAGAACCCAGUCCUGUCAGACCAUUCUUUGAUCACUUUUACAUUUAUGAUUAAGGAUUCUUCUAUCCUCAGAGCACAGUCUUACUAUAGCAGAUGUCUUUCAGAUAAUGCUGUAGCUAAGUUUAAGGAAGCGAUCCCUGUGCUGAUCCCAGGACCACCGUGUGUUUCCCCAAGGAUAAAUCACUAUAAUCUUAGCCCUGCUGAGGUUGACUCUGUUGCUGAAGGUACAGCAACCUCACUGAGAAUCACACUUGAUUCUGUUGCCCCCCUGAAAAAGAAAAUAGUAAAUCAGAGGAGGUGCGCCAGUAACUGA
rnacentral:lncRNA from 1 species